CUGUCAACUACGCCUCCCACACUGUGAGAUCUACCCUGGCGAUGGAUGUGACUUCCUGUCUGUAGCCCAUGUGACUGAUGACAUAAUUGAAUUUCUCGAUCCUCAUGAGAUAACAGAAACACACAUCAUCAUAAACAUCACUGGAUUCUGUGAUUAUGGCCUCACCAAGAAUAAGGAUGCUCCUGUCUUCCCUAUCAAAGCACUUGUGUUGUUGUUCUACCGACCAUCAGAUGACCCUGAACUGGAAUCUGUACUGCAUGUGUUGCUGCUGCCUCGGAACGUUGUCCUAAUGAAGGUGCAAGAGGAGAGGGC